rnacentral:rRNA from 1 species
CAUGUCUUUUUGUCUAUGAUUUAAAGUCUAGCCUGCCCAAUGAUUAUUUUAAAUGGCUGCAGUAUCCUGACUGUACAAAGGUAGCAUAAUCAUUAGUUUCUUAAUUAGAAGCUGGAAUGAAGGGUUUGAUGAGAAAUUUACUGUCUCAGUUUAAUUGAAUUAGAAUUUUAUUUUUAAGUGAAAAAGCUUAAAUUUUUUAGAAAGACGAGAAGACCCUAUAGAGUUUUAUGAAUUUUUAAUUUUUUAUUUUUUGUUUUUAAUGUUUUUAAUUAUUUGAUUUAUUUUGUUGGGGUGAUGUGAAAAUUUUUUAAACUUUUCUUGAUUUUUAUACUAAUUAGUGAUUUAAUGAUCCUGUUUGGAUUAUAAGAACAAAUUACCUUAGGGAUAACAGCGUAAUUUUUUUUAAAAGUUCUUAUUGAUAAAAAAGUUUGCGACCUCGAUGUUGGAUUAAAAUUUAUUUUUGGUGUAGAAGCUAAGAAAUUUAGGUCUGUUCGAC